GGACUCGUGGGGUAGGGGAUAUCCUAGCGGGCUUCGGACCCGCUGACCCGUGUUCGAAUCACGGCGAGUCCG
rnacentral:tRNA from 1 species